ACCCAGCGCGAGGCAGCUCCUCAAUGGAUACAAACAGCGAGCGUCUCAAUGGAUACAUUCUCCCAGCCAGCCAAUCAGCGCACUGCGGAAGGGGCUGUUGCCUUGGGGACGGGCCGGCUGGAACAGUACUAUCAACAACUUGUAUUUGGAGUAAGGACCAGAAAUUUCUCCAGAACCACCAAGAACAUGAAAAAAAAUUCAAGAAUUGUUUAAAGGUUGAAAAUUCUGAUCAUUAGAAAGUUCAAGGCCAAAGGCAAUUUCUUUCCCAGGAGAGAAAUGAUAACCACUGACAUUUAGAAUCAUCAGUUCCCUCCUCUGUCCUGGCUACAAUUACAAUCACUGUCUCUCAGUGCCUCCCUGAGUCAGCCACUAAGUUGCAAAUGCUACCAUAAUGCCAACCUGACUUUCCUGGGCAGAUGACCUCAUCAACGUGUUCUGAAACGCCACCUCCCCAGAGCCCUGCCCCACUAGGGAGAGACAAACAGGCUGGAAGCACCUGCCAAUGCCCAUGUCUAGUGGAGAAGCAAUUACAGAAGCCAGACUUUCCACCUUCUGCACCCCAUAAUGAUCCUGA